UCUAGUAUGGCAGAUUAGUGCAUUGAAUUUAAGCUUCAAAAAUAAAGAUUUCUUUUUCUAGAA
rnacentral:tRNA from 1 species